CCAUCGGUGGUUCAGUGGUAGAAUGCUCGCCUGCUUCGCGGGCGGCCCGGGUUCGAUUCCCGGCCGGUGCA
rnacentral:tRNA from 1 species